rnacentral:lncRNA from 11 species
CGGCAAACAGCUUCUAAAUCAGUGCCUGUGGCUUAAUCCCGGACAUCUGAAUCCAGAGGAAAACCAGCGUGACAAGGUCAGGCCGUACAAAUUGAUGGGUCUUUAUCCCGUUAACCUUACAAGUGUUGCAGAACGAAGAGCAGUUUCAUGGGCUGGUGUGUCUCAACCGGCACAUCCGAAGGCACAGAGACCCGGAGCGGACAAGGCACUUGGGCUGCUUUGUGACCAUAUAAGAGCAGGAGAGUUUCAAAGAGAAGGACCUGUUUGGCACCGGAGCGUUGGGCAUCUUGAAAGCAGCUGCGAGAAUCAUUUGUCAGCCAGCGAGGAAAAGCUUGUGCAAACCCUCUCUGACGAAAUCUGCAAAGCUUCCCGUUACUCAAGUGCGAGACAAAGGGCGAAUCUACACCAGGCAUGGGCAAACCUGGGCCCUCCAGGUGUUUUGGACUUCAACUCCCACCAUUCCUAACCCAUCCAGGGGUCCCCUGGUGAUGUCUCUGUAGAAGGCCAAUUCUUUCACACCAGAAGUGUCGCUUCUGACACAAUUUUUUUAAAUUCCUCUCUUCGUCAUGAUAUGUGGCCUCAAUUAAUGUUGUGCAUUCUUACGGAAUUGCUGUUCGUUUUGUGCAGUUUCAUUC